rnacentral:rRNA from 1 species
AUUGAACGCUGGCGGCAGGCCUAACACAUGCAAGUCGAGCGGAUGAAGGGAGCUUGCUCCUGGAUUCAGCGGCGGACGGGUGAGUAAUGCCUAGGAAUCUGCCUGGUAGUGGGGGAUAACGUCCGGAAACGGGCGCUAAUACCGCAUACGUCCUGAGGGAGAAAGCGGGGGAUCUUCGGACCUCACGCUAUCAGAUGAGCCUAGGUCGGAUUAGCUAGUUGGUGGGGUAAAGGCCUACCAAGGCGACGAUCCGUAACUGGUCUGAGAGGAUGAUCAGUCACACUGGAACUGAGAAGCGGGCCCAGCUCCUAAGGGAGGCAGGGGGGGGAAAUUUUGGGCAAGGGGCAAAGGGCAGAACCGGCCAAGCCGGGUAGGUGAAGAAGAUCUUCGGAUUGUAAAGCACUUAAAGUUGGGGGGAGGGGAAGUAAUUUAAUCCCGUUGUUUUUGACCGUAACCAAAAAAAAAAGCCCGGGCAACUUCCGU